rnacentral:rRNA from 1 species
AUCGAACGCUGGCGGCAGGCCUAACACAUGCAAGUCGAGCGGAGCGGCGGACGGGUGAGUAAUGCCUAGGAAUCUGCCUGGUAGUGGGGGAUAACGUCCGGAAACGGGCGCUAAUACCGCAUACUAUCAGAUGAGCCUAGGUCGGAUUAGCUAGUUGGGGGGGGAAAGGCCUACCAAGGCGACGAUCCGUAACUGGGCUGAGAGGAUGAUCAGUCACACGGGAACUGAGACAGGGUCCAGACGCCUACGGGAGGCAGCAUGGGGGAAUAUUGGACAAGGGGGGAAAGCCUGAUCCAGCCAUGCGGCGUGUGUGAAGAAGGUCUUCGGAUUGUAAAGCACUUUAAGUUGGGAGGCGUUACCAACAGAAUAUGCAACGGCUAACGUCGUGCCAGCCGCCGCGGUAAUAC